rnacentral:rRNA from 1 species
GUCCGAGCGAACAGACGAGGAGCUUGCUCCUUUGACGUUAGCGGCGGACGGGUGAGUAACACGUAGGUAACCUACCUAUAAGACUGGGAUAACUUCGGGAAACCGGAGCUAAUACCGGAUAAUAUUUCGAACCGCAUGGUUCGAUAGUGAAAGAUGGCUUUGCUAUCACUUAUAGAUGGACCUGCGCCGUAUUAGCUAGUUGGUAAGGUAACGGCUUACCAAGGCAACGAUACGUAGCCGACCUGAGAGGGUGAUCGGCCACACUGGAACUGAGACACGGUCCAGACUCCUACGGG